CAUUGUUGCUUCUUUAUCCUUCACUUCCAGCUUCUAACCGCCACCGCAAGUCGCAGCCACACCCCACCGCCAGCACCCCGUUGCUCCACUGUCGUCCAUCUAUCCAGCACCCCGUCUCCAGCGACCGACAAGUCGAUAACAACUUGCAAAUACUCUGAGAAAAUAGUUGAACCAUCUUAAUUGUAACUGUAGAGCAUCGAACAUGGUUUACAUAUUGUGGUUGUGUUUUAUGACUUUUGUCUAAACAUGAUUCUAACUUUGGCUUCCUGAUGACAACUGUCAUAGCCAUUGAAGAUGUCAAAGGGGAUUGAGCUGUUCAUGUUAGCGAAGAGGACCACCAGUAGAGUAUAUUCUCAAUACUAGCAGUUGUUUUAUGGCUUGGGAAAGUCUCUUUUAAGGUUAUUGACAAUGAGGACCAUGUUGAACCUGUUGAUGAAGGUAAAAGAUUCAAGACGUAAUCGUUUGUGAGCUGCUUUGUCAUUUGCAUUUGGUUCUCAACCAUUGUUUGACCACCUGUGUCAUUGAAGAAAGCUACUAAGUGGUCUGAAUGGAAGGAAGCUGUUGCAGAGUUAACAAAGCUUGCUUCCACAAAGAAAAUAGCACCUGGUGAUUUUGCAAAAAAUUUGCAGGACAUUGAAGGACUUUAACUAGUUUGGAAUUGAAUGAAUAAUAUUUUUAGGGUUGACUGAUGGCUUAUUUGUGACUUAUAGGACAACAUUAUUAUUUUAAUGAUGCUAGUUUAAGUGUUAAAUUGAAGUGUUCAUAGAAUUGAAAUAUUGUCAGUGUUAAUGAGUUGAUUAUUUGGUUGGAUUGUACACGAAAAAAUUGUAAGGAUGUAACAUUUUACAAUGCUAUAAUUUUGUAUUGUU